CGAGCCUGUGGUGUGAUGAGUCUGUCUGAUUCUUUUCACUGCUGUCUGCCUCUGGUAUGUGAAGACGAGACACUGGCUUAGAAGUCGUGGCAACUGAGAUGAAUGAACCACGCUGGAAAUGAGGAAAAGCCCCUUCAGACCUUACAAAAGAGGAUUUAAACAUAUAAUAUAAAGACAAAACUUUAAUGUUAAUAUAGUGUCUGUAAUCCUGUAAGGGCAUGUAGCACUUUACCUCUAUCUAAACUAUUCUUCCAGAAGCGUUAGAGGUUUAGUAGCAUGACUUUUACUGCCUCACCCUUUCAGGGAGCAGUUAUGCACAGCAGAGGGUGGAAUGGAGCACAGUCCUCCACUGCCUGCUCUGCACAUCUUUCUGCAGAGGAAAGCAGUGCAGAACCAGGCAGACAUUACAGUAUCCUGAUUUACCUGCAGCUUCCUCUUCCAGCUUCUGAGACAGGGUCCUGAAAUUAAAUCUGGAUGGCAUUCAGGAACAGUUUAGUACUUGAAGUCUCUACUGUCUUCACAGAGAAGGAAAAUAGAAGGAAAAAACAGAAGUUACAGCACUCUGGGAGCAUAACCCUGCAAGUACGUCUUGCAUGUUUGAAGGUUUGCUGCAGAGCAACCUCCUAUCACGGCCCAGCGGAGCAGACCCUUAGCAGCUGUGCACAUCACACUUCAGUCAGGAAGAAAAUCUAUUCGGAUAAGAAUUUCGCUGGGAAACAGGAUUAGUCCACGUGGUCUGAAAUUGGACCAACUUGCUCAACUCCCCUCUCUCUGGAUGCACCACAAGCCUAAGGCUGAGUGAACGUGGUGGGAUUUACUCUGGCCAAGGUCUGCCUUUUUAAUUCACUUCUUCCAGGUGCAUCCAGCGCAGCUGAGUUUGGGUUCUGGCCUUCUUAAAGAGAUGUGGGCUUGAUGUGAGGAACUGGAAGUGAGCUCAGGGAACAGCUCAUUCCAGGACCAUGUGCAAAGAACUGAAGGUCAGGAUGUGUGCUGGUGAUAGAUUUUGGAAAAUUUUGCUGCACAGCAAGGAGUAGUAUCAGCAUCAAGGACUUUGUUGAACUGCCUUGAGCAUAUUUAUUUCUUGCCUGCCUCUUCUCAGCGCACCUCAGAGACGUAAUUGCUUUGCCUGACCAAUGGAGUCAGACAUCGUUUGUUGCCAGCACCAUGAAAAAAGAGGAAAUGUUUACCUCUGUUACAAAACAUAGCAAGCCUGACUGUGAUUUCAACUGCACUGGGUUUGCACAGAUCUAUCUCUAUGGAGCCACAUUUCUGUUAAUCCAGCUUUACUUUUACUUUAUUAUAUAUUUUAGUUUCAGCUGGGACGAUGUUUUUAAAUAAGGAUGUGACAAAACCUACUCUCCUAGCCAAGAUGAACACAGCAAGAUGAAACCAUCAUUGCUAUUUUGGAUACAUUUAACAGGAACCACUAUGAAGUAGAAAUGCAAGUAAAGUUUGGAUGGGUAAAUUUUUCAUGCGAAUGACAUUUGCAAGUCAGUCCCUAAGAGAAAUGUCAGCAUCCCCUUCCAUCUUGGCUGCACCACAAGAAAAACAGACAACUGCCUAAUGUGGGUCCAGUCACCAACUUGUUUUGUAAUGGUGGUGGGGGAAGAAUGCUGCAACUAUUGGUCUGGAUCAGACCUGGUAAUUCUGGUGUGUAUGUCAGGCUGCGGUAACAGCUACCUUCGCAAGGCUGAGCUUGGAUGGCUGCGGUGUCCCUGUGAGCUGGGGCGAUCUUGGUGUUUAGGCUCUUUUUCUCUGUUCUUUGCAUAAAACCUUCAAGGGGAUUGUUUUAGCUUAAAUAAAAUCUCUAGAACUUAUCUUUUCAUUUGAAUGCUUCUCUCCUGAAGCGACUUCCUUCAACAGAGAGGGAUUUCAGCCAGGAUUUACUUUGAUUCUCAGGCCAACAGGAAUAAAUCUCUAUCUCAUGAUUUCUCUCCCCGCCUCUGCCUGCAAACAGAUGGAAGACAAAACUUCAGUGGUUACUACAUGGCUCUGAGGUAUGGAGUGGAAAGCAGAAAUACUUCCAGACUUCCUCUGGACUGGUGGUAUUCUGACCUCUGUGGCUCUGUCCUUGCUCAGCAUCUGUCACCUCGGUACAAAUCUCUGUAGUAAUCUGCUACAAGACCUGGAUCUCGCUUUUCAUUUGCCAUGUAUUUUGCACUGCUGAGGGGGGGGGGGUAAACAAAAGGUUAUAACCCAAACUGUGAGCAGAGACCAUGGCAAGGAUAUAGAAAGAUGUAAAAGCAGCUGCUAUCAACCAUCCUGAGCGGGCCAGAGCCCUGGUGAGAGGCAAGCAUCUGUACAGGAGAGCUGGAGGCAGAGUGGACUUUCCUGCCUCUUGGAAAGCAACAGCAGGGAUCUGCCUGUAGGAACAAUUGUCUCUGUGUUUCAUUGCAGGUGGUUUCAGUGUCUCCCUGGCCUCUCCUGUGAAGCUGCUGGGUUUAUGAGCCCACUGUGCUGUCUGAGGUGAUAAACCAGGCAAUGUAACACAUUUGCUCUGUGAGGCAACAGUGGUGCUGACAAUGCUGGAAACCAAAUGCAUCGCAAGCUGAGUGGACAACAGUUUUGCCUGCAACUUCAAAUGAACCUGAAUUUAGCCUCUGGGAGCCCCACACCCCAUUCUGAGCAUCCAGGACCCACUUCUGUGCUCCACACACAGCAAUGACAUUGCUACUGUCAAGCCCUCCUGGGCCAGGGCCUCUUUCUGCUCCUUGCAGGCUGGUUCCUGUCACGCUGACAUCAGCAGCCUGCUCAGCCUGCCUGCUGCUCAUGCACUGUGUCACUGGCCUGUCAUUUCUGUUUCCAGUUACAGUUCAUCCCAAUAAAGUCAUGACUCACUGGGGGAAAAGCAGAGUCUGCAAGCAGUGCUGGAGCCAAGGCUUUGCUCAGCUGUUGCUAAUGCUUCACUGGUGGCUGAUGCUGAGCCAAGACUGAUGCAGGACCGCUGGCAGUGGAAUCACCUCUCUUGUCACAUUAAGCAUCGUGAAAUGAGGUUAGCACAAUUUUACAUGUCCUGAGAUAACGAUGCUUUCCCAGCCCACUUAUUUUCAUCUGUAUUUGUGAAAAUCAGCAAGUAGUCAGGACCACAGCAAGCACAGGUUCCAGAUCCUGUGAGGUGGUGCUCACUGCUGUUUAGGGAAGAGGUUUUUGCUUCAUUGUGAUGGCAAAUGCUUUGUGUGGCUGGAUGGACAGCCAAGCAGUCUGUGAUCUCUCAGUUGCAGUCUGGUUCCUGCAGUGUUUAUGCACUUAAGGUGCUUAUGUCCUGGGCUGUACCAGUAGGUGUAGGGCAGUGACAGAAAAUGUGCACGGGGAAACUCCUGCCUACUUCUCCAGCCAGGUCAUAAUAUAUUUCACUGCUUGCAUUUUUGCAAUCACAAGAAACCAUAUAAACAAACAUUGUACCUUUAAAUCCACUGUAAUUCUACUCUGUAAACAUCUAAUUACUAAUUAUACGCAUGUAAUCACUGGCAUAUAAUCACUAAUUAUCUCUAGAUGCACCACCUGUUUUUGCUGUAGAGCAUCAGUGUGCUCUCCUGAGGCUAGGAACAAGGCUGUGUGCAGGGAGAUUGAAGGGGAGACCACUUCAGGUCUGGAGAAAGAAGCAGAGGCCAGGUUUCCCAAAGGGAAAUUUUCUGAACUCCUGUUUCACAAUUGUUAUUUGCUAACAUUUUGACUAUCAGCUCAUUUCAGGACAAAAAUCCAACGUGUAGAGAAUUUCCUAUAGAUUUUGUUCAGCACUAAGCAAAUCUGGAAGCAAAAGGCAUUGCUCCAUUUCAGAAGUAUUCUUGGAAUAACCCAGCACAGAAGAUUAUAGAUCUGUUUUAACAUUAGGUAAGUGUUCUCAGUUAGCGUGGAGACUGAGAGCGUGCUGAAGUCAAUCUGUAUGUGUUGUUAGAAGGAAUACACUCUAGGAGUAGAACAGAAUUCUGAAACAGAUAUGAACAUUCUAUGAACCCGCUUUCCCUUGUGGCUUUAACAUGAAAUGAUGAAUAGGCUUUUGACAAUCAAAUCUUUUUUCUUUGACUUUGCUGAAAUAUUUCAUUAAAAUUGCCACCCUACUUUAUAGCAGCUUGUCAGAUGCUGCCUGUGCCUGUGAUGAAAUCUUUCACCAGUACCUGAUGUAAAGGCUUAUUUCCCACCUCAUAUCUCUUCCAUAUUAGAUACCCAUCCUGCCUUCUUUGCCAGGUUCCAGCAGCACAAAGUAUGCCCUUCUAGUCUCACCCAUUUACUUAUCUCAUCCACUGUAGCAUAUCCAACACGAAGCAGAGCUGACAGGGUCUGUAUUGCCUUGUUUAACUACAGGUGUGUAGGGCAGCACAACUGCUAUACCAGAUGUGCCCAGAUUGGGCCCAGUCAAAUAAAUGGCACGUUCAUAGGCUCCCACAUAAACUCAUAUGCUUGGGAACAAAGACAUUCCUAUGAGUAAACUGUGUUCUGGAAAACUGAUCUUAAAUCAGCUGAACAUCAGCUCCCAGCAUGACUCUGUGGCGAAGACAAUUAUCACCAGUUCUUUGAUGUCUCAACAGACAUAUCAAACGUGAGUACACAUGGAUGUAUUUAACAUUGCUGUACUAUUGCCAUGCUGUCAUCAAUUCUAGCUGCCUGCGUUUCCAAAAACUGCCAUCCCUCCAGACACAAUCAUAGCAGAAAGACUGGAAAACUGUCUGUGGUUUCUUCUCAAAGACAACAACACAACCUUUGUCACGUCAAAGAAAAGGUUACAUACAAUUUGAUCACAAUCUGUAAA